UAACACUACGAGCCAAGCAAGCCUUUUUCUCUUUAUCCGUUGACUCUCUCUAAUAUUUUGUUGUAGUAACAAAAGCUGACUAACACAAAGGUCAUUGUAAGCAGCAGAAAACAACUUGAACAAUCUCAAGCCAGAGACACCUCGAUUGUCUUCUUCGACUUUGAAGCUCGGAUGCAGUCAAGCCUGGGGCCGAGGCAGCGUCAACACACACUCUCUCUUUCCCUCCUUCCUCUUGCUUGUUCUUAGUUCCUGAGAGGAGAUUGGAAGCCAACACAGCCUGAGUGUCCACCCUGAUCUUAUGCCCUGUACAAAGUCCACCUCGUAAGAAACAACAGCCAGGACUUUCCUGUGGUCACAUAGGUUAGGUAGUGCAGUUUGUCCCAGCAAAGGGGGCCAGGGCAGACAAGCCAGCCAGUGUUGGUUGAGAAAUCCACUUCAAGAUUUCACCAGUACAGCUAAAGACUAUAGGUCUGAGUUGCUAGAUGGACACCUGUCCAUCAUCUGUCAAGUGCUGUGUUAGUUAAGAGAUGGUUCCUGUUUUGGUUAUUUAUUGGUUUGUUUUUGUGAGGGUUUUCUUUUUCAGUCUUUAUGACAACAUUUGGAGGCAGAAUUAUUGUUUUGUUUUUCAAAUAAUGCAGCAAGGCUAAAAGGAAACAGAGAGAGAGGGGGAGAGAGAGAGAGAGAGGCACAUUUUUGCAACAUAAACCUGCAAAGCCCACUGAAAUGUUAAGAUCUUUGUUUCUGAUAAGAACUACGGUCUGCUCAGGGUUAAGCCUUUGUUCGGUCAGUACUAGUUAGUAGCUAGUUAGUACACAAACAUCCGUUUGGCUAACAUAAAAGUGGGGUGGGUGCAGUUAGAGGUACCAUGUAUAAAAAGUAGCCAUGAAAAUUAACAGUUGCGGCUGUCCAAAAGAGUAAAAUUGCUCUUUGGGGGUUAAAAGACCAAAUGGGUCUGACCAGCACUCUGUAAAUGUAAUAGUUUGCUUGGGGUAAUAAUUUGGUCCCUCGAGCGACAUUCCUUCACUUUCUAGGAUGACUGAGACCUUGGGGUUAUCAACUACGUCUCCUGGAUGUAUCGGGGGUGUUUAAAUAUACAUUUCCCCAUUCAGUUAAUAAGUCACGAGCCCAUUGAAUUCUUCAUCAUCGCAUUCAGAGGUAGUCAGCGUAGACAGGAGCCGCGUGUUCACUUCCCUCCUUCGGGUUAAUCUUUACCCACUGCUCCAUCAGGUUUUCAUAAGAUUCUGAAGUUAAAAUUGCUGUUAAAAACUGAUCACUGGGUUACUCUCUUCCCAAAAAAGGCUGCUUUAAUGAUAUAGAUUCCCUUCUUUACCUC
rnacentral:lncRNA from 1 species